GGCAGAGUGGUGUAAUGGUUUGAAAGUUGGACUAGGAUUCUGUAGACCAGGGUUCAAUUCCCAGGUCAGCCA